rnacentral:rRNA from 1 species
AGAGUUUGAUCCUGGCUCAGGAUGAACGCUAGCGGCAGGCUUAACACAUGCAAGUCGAGGGGUAAGGUAGCAAUAUCUGGGACCGGCGCACGGGUGCGUAACGCGUAUGCAAUCUACCUUAUACAGAGGGAUAGCCCAGAGAAAUUUGGAUUAAUACCUCAUAGUAUAAUUGAAUGGCAUCAUUUAAUUAUUAAAGUUCCAACGGUAUAAGAUGAGCAUGCGUCCUAUUAGCUAGAUGGUAAGGUAACGGCUUACCAUGGCUACGAUAGGUAGGGGUCCUGAGAGGGAGAUCCCCCACACUGGUACUGAGACACGGACCAGACUCCUACGGGAGGCAGCAGUGAGGAAUAUUGGACAAUGGGCGCAAGCCUGAUCCAGCCAUGCCGCGUGCAGGAAGACGCAUCUAUGGUGUGUAAACUGCUUUUGUACGGGAAGAAACACUCCUUCGUGAAGGAGCUUGACGGUACCGUAAGAAUAAGGAUCGGCUAACUCCGUGCCAGCAGCCGCGGUAAUACGGAGGAUCCAAGCGUUAUCCGGAAUCAUUGGGUUUAAAGGGUCCGUAGGCGGUUUAAUAAGUCAGUGGUGAAAUCUGGUCGCUCAACGAUCAAACGGCCAUUGAUACUGUUAGACUUGAAUUAUUAGGAAGUAACUAGAAUAUGUAGUGUAGCGGUGAAAUGCUUAGAUAUUACAUGGAAUACCAAUUGCGAAGGCAGGUUACUACUAGUGGAUUGACGCUGAUGGACGAAAGCGUGGGGAGCGAACAGGAUUAGAUACCCUGGUAGUCCACGCCGUAAACGAUGGAUACUAGCUGUUGGGCGCAAGUUCGGUGGCUAAGCGAAAGUGAUAAGUAUCCCACCUGGGGAGUACGUUCGCAAGAAUGAAACUCAAAGGAAUUGACGG